rnacentral:rRNA from 1 species
GACGAACGCUGGCGGCAUGCCUAAUACAUGCAAGUCGAGCGAACAGAUGAAGUGCUUGCACUUCUGACGUUAGCGGCGAACGGGUGAGUAACACGUAAGGAAUCUACCUAUAAGCGGGGGAUAACAUUCGGAAACGGGUGCUAAUACCGCAUAAUAUCUUCUUCCGCAUGGAAGAAGAUUGAAAGACGGCUCUGCUGUCACUUAUAGAUGACCUUGCGGUGCAUUAGUUAGUUGGUGGGGUAACGGCCUACCAACACGAUGAUGCAUGGCCGACCGGAGAGGGUGAUCGGCCACAUUGGGACUGAGACACGGCCCAAACUACUACGGGAGGCAGCAGUAGGGAAUCUUCCGCAAUGGGCGAAAGCCUGACGGAGCAAUGCCGCGUGAGUGAAGAAGGCCUUCGGGUCGUAAAACUCUGUUAUAAGAGAAGAACAAAUUGUAGAGUAACUGCUACAGUCUUGACGGUAUCUUAUCAGAAAGCCACGGCUAACUACGUGCCAGCCGCCGCAGUAA